GACGAACGCUGGCGGCGUGCCUAAUACAUGCAAGUUGAGCGCUGAAGGGUGGUACUUGUCCCAACUGGGUGAGCGGCGAACGGGUGAGUAACGCGUGGGUACUCUGCCUUUGAGCGGGGGACAACAUUUGGAAACGAAUGCUAAUACCGCAUAAGAACUUGAAACACAAGGUUCAAGUGUGAAAGAUGCAAUUGCUUCACUCAAAGCUGAUCACUCGUUGUGUUAGCUAGUUGGUGAGGUAAAGGCUCACCCAGGCGGUGAUACAUAGCCGAGCUGGGGGGGUGAACCGCCACCUCGGGACCGGGACACGGCCCAAACCUCUACGGGAGGCAGCAGGAGGGAAUCUUUGGACAAGGACGAAAGGCCGAACGCGCAACGCCGGGUGGGGGGAGAAGGGUCUCGGGUUGGUAAAGCCCGUUGGUAGGGAAGAACGGUCGUGAGAGUGGAAAGCUCAUGAAGUGACGGUACCUACACAGAAAGCGACGGCUAACUACGUG
rnacentral:rRNA from 1 species